UGUGUAUAAGGUGUGUGUAUUGGGUGUGUAUAUAGGGUGUGUGUAUAGGGUGUGUGUAUAGGGUGUGUGUAUAGGGUGUGUAUAUAGGGUGUGUGUAUAGGCUGUGUGUAUAGGGUGUGUAUAUAGGGUGUGUGUAUAGGGUGUGUGUAUAGGGUGUGUAUAUAGGGGUGUGUAUAGGGUGUGUGUAUAGGGUGUGUAUAUAGGGUGUGUAUAUAGGGUGUGUGUAUUGGGUGUGUGUAUAGGGUGUGUGUAUUGGGUGUGUAUAUAGGGUGUGUGUAUAGGGUGUGUGUAUAGGGUGUGUGUAUAGGGUGUGUAUAGGGUGUGUGUAUAGGGUGUGUGUAUAGGGUGUGUGUAUAGGGUGUGUAUAUAGGGUGUGUAUAUUGGGUGUGUGUAUAAGGUGUGUGUAUUGGGUGUGUAUAUAGGGUGUGUGUAUAGGGUGUGUGUAUAGGGUGUGUAUAUAGGGUGUGUGUAUAGGGUGUGUGUAUAGGGUGUGUAUAUAGGGUGUGUGUAUAAGGUGUGUGUAUUGGGUGUGUAUAUAGGGUGUGUGUAUAGGGUGUGUGUAUAGGGUGUGUAUAUAGGGUGUGUGUAUAGGGUGUGUGUAUAGGGUGUGUAUAUAGGGUGUGUGUAUAGGGUGUGUGUAUAGGGUGUGUGUAUAGGGU
ensembl:lncRNA